rnacentral:rRNA from 1 species
AGGACGAACGCUGGCGGCGUGCUUAACACAUGCAAGUCGAGCGGUGAUCCUCCUUCGGGAGGUGAUCAGCGGCGAACGGGUGAGUAACACGUGGGCAACCUGCCCCUCACACUGGGAUAACCUCGGGAAACCGGGGCUAAUACCGGAUACGACCUCGAGCGGCAUCUCUUGAGGUGGAAAGCUCCGACGGUGAGGGAUGGGCCCGCGGCCUAUCAGCUUGUUGGUGGGGUAACGGCCUACCAAGGCGACGACGGGUA